rnacentral:rRNA from 1 species
UACGUAGGGGGCUAGCGUUGUCCGGAAUCAUUGGGCGUAAAGCGCGUGUAGGCGGCCCGGUAAGUCCGCUGUGAAAGUCGGGGGCUCAACCCUCGAAAGCCGGUGGAUACUGUCGGGCUCGAGUGCGGAAGAGGCGAGUGGAAUUCCUGGUGUAGCGGUGGAAUGCGCAGACAUCAGGAGGAACACCGAUGGCGAAGGCAGAUCUCUGGGCCGUAACUGACGCUGAGGAGCGAAAGCGUGGGGAGCGAACAGG